rnacentral:rRNA from 1 species
AUUGAACGCUGGCGGCAGGCCUAACACAUGCAAGUCGAGCGAGCGGCGGACGGGUGAGUAAUGUAUGGGGACUGCCCGAUAGAGGGGGAUAACAACUGGAAACGGUGGCUAAUACCGCAUACUAUCGGAUAACCCAUAUGGUAUUAGCUAGUAGGUGGGGUAAAGGCUCACCUAGACGACGAUCUCUAGCUGGUCUGAGAGGAUUAUCAGACACACGAGGACUUAGACACAGCCCAGACGCCUACGGAGUCAGCAGUGGGGAAUAUUGCACAAUGGGCGCAAGCCUGAUGCAUCCGUGCCGCGUGUAUGAAGAAGGCCUUAGGGUUGUAAAGUACUUUCAGCGGGAAGGCGUUACCCGCAGAGGAAGCACCGGCUAACUCCGUGCCAGCAGCCGCGGUAAUUC